rnacentral:rRNA from 1 species
GUAGGGGGCAAGCGUUAUCCGGAUUUACUGGGUGUAAAGGGAGCGUAGACGGAAUGGCAAGUCUGAUGUGAAAGGCCGGGGCUCAACCCCGGGACUGCAUUGGAAACUGUCAAUCUAGAGUACCGGAGGGGUAAGUGGAAUUCCUAGUGUAGCGGUGGAAUGCGUAGAUAUUAGGAGGAACACCAGUGGCGAAGGCGGCUUACUGGACGGUAACUGACGUUGAGGCUCGAAAGCGUGGGGAGCAAACAGGAUUAGAUACCCUGGUAGUCCACGCCGUAAACGUUGAAUACUAGGUGUUGGGGAGCAAAGCUCUUCGGUGCCGCAGCAAACGCAAUAAGUAUUCCACCUGGGGAGUACGUUCGCAAGAAUG